UUUAUUCGACAUUCAAACGACGGACUUCUCCACCGUUUUAGCUCAUGUGGACCCCGUGCUAGAUUCUCUAUUUUACCCAUUUUGUUAAUGUAUUAUUUCAUUCUUUUUUUGGCACUCAAACGAAAUUUGUUUUGUUUUAUUUGUUUCUUCUCUUUAUUAUUUGGUGUUCAUCAAUUGGUUCUUGAUUUUUUAUGGCAUCCUUUCUCACCUGGACACGUGUUUUGGCUGUAUAAUUAGAAUCAGAUAUUGUUGUGUAUUUCUUUGUGGUUAAGAUUAUAGAAUUUUAAAAUUAAUCACUUGCUUUGAUUUCAGAAUCCAAUGGAAAAGUUUAAUAUCAUUGAUACCUUAAUGAAUAACUAGAUUUAUUAUUUAGAUUAUAUAACUAAUUAUAAAUUAAAAUUAUAAAAAAAAACAAUUUAAGACUAAAAACACAUUAAAAACUAAUAUAUAUUGUGUUAUUAUUUAAAAAGAAUAUUUGUCAAUUAUCAAAAUUUAAAAAUUAAGAAAAACAGAUGAAUAAUUAAAUACUAAUCAAGUAAAUAAAUAAUUUUGUAUAAUCAAUGAAUAUAGUGUAUAAAGAAUUUUUUUAAUUAUUUAUAAUUCUUCAAUGUUUCCAAAAUUUGAUGAUUAUAUAUAUUUUUAUUAAAACCCCCGUAUAUAUAAUUUAAUGAUUGGUUUAAAAUAUGAAGAGAAACAAAAUUAUUAUCAUGAUGGUUUUUAAAUGACGCAUAUAUUAAUAAUUAGCUGUAAAAUUGAUUACUUAUGGGUCUUCAUAAAAUCACUAAAUAAUAAUAGUUGGAGAAAAUCUCCUAAAUAUUUUUUUCCACUUUAGUGUAUUUUAGAUAGCUCCAAAAUUAAAGUGAUCAAAAUAUGUUUCAUUAAAUGGGUAAUGACAAUUAUAUCAUCGUUUACAAUUUUAGAUAAUCAUAAUAUAAAAUUAUUAAAAAAAAUAACAAAGUCAAAAUAUCUUUUUCAAAAUUUCUUUUUCUAAAAUAUAUAUUUCCAAUAACUCCUUUUAAAACAAUCCUAGGAAAACCUUCCUUAGCAUGUAGGAUAUCUUUCUGAAUUUGUAAAAAUAAUUUCCUGAAUUGAGGAAUGGUUUAUAAAUGUGUAAUCUUGAAUGUAAAUUGUAUGUAUAUUUAAGAAGUUCUUCCUAAAUAUGAAUGAUAUCUUUCUAAAUUUGAUAAAAUUUAUUUUGAUAAUUUUGACCUUUAAUAAAACUUACAAUAAGAUUUAUAAUUUUCAUUUAUCUCUUUAAUAAAACUUAUUUUGAACAUUUUGACCUUUUAAAACUAGUUUGGAAACAAAAACUUGUUUCGGGUAUAUUUGAGUUCAUUUCUCUAAUAGCCGGUUACGUCAACGUAAUCACACAAUUUAAUAUUGAGUUAUAUCAUAAAAUAAAAUUUUGCAUGAUUAAUAAUGUUAUUAUCAGUGGACAUAUAUGAUAUGCGCACUCUCAACUGAAAUCUAUAUUAAUAUUAGUGACUUUUCUUACUUGUCAUUUUUUCCAUAUUUUUAGGUUAUUUUGCUUAUUUGUAAUGUUUAAUUAAUUUUAGAAGCUUAUUUGUCAUAUUCCAUAAUUUUAGAUUAAAUCAUUAGUUUUAAUAAAUAACUUGAUUUUGAUCCACAUUUUUAAAACGCAGAUAUUUUUUCAAAACGCGGAUAUUUAUCGUAGUGUACAUUACAAAAGAUGACAUGUUAAAUAACAUGAUUGAAGAAAAUAAGAAGUACAAAAGAAAAUAAAAAUAAUCAAAUCAUAUGUGGAUUGAAAUGAAGAAUCAUUAUGAUAGUUCAUCAGCACAUAAAAAAAAAACAGAAUCAGCAAACCAAAAAUAUAUGUAUAUAUAUAUAUAUAUAUAUCUUUACAUUCUAAAAAAAAAAAUACUAAGUUGAAGCAUCAAAAAUUUAGCAUCAGAAAAUUCAAUGACUUCGUUUUUCUGCUGUGAAUAUCAUAUAUAUAGUAGAUCGGUAAAUAUUUCUAAAUGACCUAGCUUUCACGAUAAGCUUUGAAAUAGAAUAUUCUUAAAUAAAUUCUCUGAAAAAUCUUAUGCUUAUAAGGUAAUACUAUUUUUGGAAUAUCUUGUUAGUAGAGAAAAAGAGAAAAUCUUGUGAUUGGAUUGCAUCCAAAUUUUGGUUCAAAGAUUUUAUUAUAAAUAUUUAAAUAUUGAAUGCAUGAAUCAUUUUUUCUGAUGAAUUUCACAAAGUUUCAAUGUGGGACGUUUACACUUUGUAGAUAUAAUGAUCUUAAAUAUAUUUCAUGUGUAAAUAGAUAUAGGGACUUUUUGUAUAAAUGAUUUCCUAUAAACUCAAGAAUAUAGAUAUUCUAAAUCUUGUUAGGCCCCUAAAAUUUUGCUUACCACGAUUUACAGUAAGAUUUUUUUAUUUUUAAAAGUAUUAAUAAGAAAAUAAAUAGAAAGAAAAUAAGAAAAUAUUGUACGUAAUUAAAUGUUUGCAAAUAUCCAAAUUACCCUUAAUGAAAGACACAGUUUAGACUUUAGAUAGAAUGGUAGAGGCAAUUAGUGGAAAUAUCCCGAAGUGUAUUCUGCUUUAAUAGUAUACUAGAUACGGACCCGCGCUGUGCGCGGAUUUGUUUCCUUAAAUCUUCGUAUAAAAUAAAUUAUACUAUACGAAUAUCAAAUUUGUGGUUUAUACUUUGAAAAAUAUUUUUACUUGGAUACAAAAUAUUUGCUCCACAUAUAUAGCAUUGGUGUGUGUUUUAAUAGAGAGUAAUUUGGAACCAACGUCUUCUCAAUCCUGCCAGUUUAUGAUCCGCCUUGUAAUGGAGUAAAGUGAUUAUGUUACAAAUCCCUUUAUUUAAAUAAUAUAGCCCUAUUAUUUUAAUAAAUUUUAGACAUAGUAGCAUCUAUUAUAUUAUUUUAGUAAAUUUUAUUGGUAUAAGAUAAUUUUUUGGAUGUUAUGAUAUUAAGUUUUAUUUUUAACUAAGAUUUUAAAAUAUUAGAUUGCUUUAAUUUUACAACAUAUAUAGUGUUUUUUCGUGGUGCAUUUCAAAAAGUUAUUAUUUAUUAUCUAUGAUUUUAUCUUUUGUAAAAUUUGAAAUAUUAUCAUUUUGAGUUUGAAUAUUUAUUUUCAAAAUUUUAUAUUGUGUCAAGAAAACUUUGAAAAAUUACACUACUAUUUGAGUUUGGAAGAUUACAUGAAUUUUGAAUUUUAUUUUGUUACUACAUUAAUACAUUAUUUUAUAAAAAUAUAUUUGAAUUUUUUAUAAUAUUUUCUAAUUUUUCUCAAUAUAUUUUUUUAUAAUUAAAAAUAUAUAACUAAAAUUUGAUUUUGUCAUUAAUAUUUUAAAUGAAUUACUAAAAUUUUAUAAUUUUCUAAUAACAUAUUUUAAAAAUAGUAUAUGAAAUAAAGGUUAUUAUAUACUAUUAUAUUUUUGUAUAUAAACCUUUUAAACAUUAAUAUAUUGUUGAGAUACCAAGUUAACAUACCAAGUAAAAAUCUGGUUGAUAUAAUUACUUUGCAUGUAAAUUUCACAAAUAUGUAUCUUACGUAAUAGUUAUAUUAUUUAAGUGUUAUGUCUUGAAGAUGGCUUUAAGUUAUUAGUUGUUUGAAUCGUAAGACUUAUUUGACUAAGAUAAUUAGGAUGUAUAAUUAAUAGAUAUUUAACUAACUAAAAUUACAAAAUAGAUAUGAACGGAAGUCUUGAAUUGUAUCUUCGGCUUUAAUAGAUUAAAAAAACAUAUGUAACGUAAAUGGUGAACAUGAUGAUCUAAACUCUUUAUGAUUAAAACUUAUAUGCAGACAACAUUGUGUUCAUAAUUAGAAAUUUUUAUUUGUUGGAAUGUUUCAUAUGGAUACAGAUGAACAAAAUAUGAAAUUAUUUGAUUUUUUCUGUGACAGAUAGUCAUCUGAAGAAGCAAAGGCGACAUAUAUAUUAACAUGUGUCCAAUUAGAGUUAUCGUAUGUUUAUUCUAAUAGUUAAUAACAUAUCGGUUUAGUUAGUUUAAUUUUAGAUGGUUUUAGGAGAUUAGAUAUUGGUUUAGUUUAAAUAAUCUGGUUCAAUUAUUUAGGUAGCGUGUAAAAAUAUAAUUGUAACAAACUUGUAAGGGUCCAAAAUACAUGUAGCGUACUAACAAAUUUAAAAGGGUCUAAAAUUUUUAAACAACUUUUCUAAGUAGAUAAUAAAAUAGGACUCUAUUUUAAUAGAUUAGAUUUUUGAACUGUUAGUUUCUAAACAAUUUUAGUUAUUAUUUAGUAAAUAUUUUUAUCAUAUUCAGGAGAAUUAUUAUUAACGAGUAUUAUCAAAUUUUAGCAAUAAUUUUUAUAGUUAUGUUUAUCUUAUAUUUACUUUAGUAAUGCUAAAUCGUUUAAUUUUUUUAUUUAUUAUUAUUUUUAAGGAAGCUUUCUUCUCUUUAUUUCAGGGAAUCAUCUUCAAUCAAAAACUAUGAGUCCAAAGAAUACAAUCUCUUGUCCUUGUAAAUUAAAAAAAAUUCAGUUUCACUAGACAUAUAUAAUUUAUUAUUUUUAGUUUAUAAAUUUUUAUUUAAAUAGAAAUAUGUUUUUAAUUCUUGUAUAUUUUGUUAAUAGGUAGUCACUAUGAACUUUGAAGAAGAGAAAAUUCAUAUAAAAUACAAUUAAACUAAUGUUUGUAGGAAUUACCAAAACAAGGAAAAUUGUUCAAUCAUCUAUACUAUUAUUUGAUGAAGAGAGAUUUGAUUUCACAUGCUUCACUGAUAAUUGGUAAUUGUGGUUUAAUUUGUAGAUUUAUCUUUUACGUUAUUUUAAAUUAUUAAUAAAACUUUAAUAGGUUAUUAUGAUGAUGAUACUCUUUACAUGUGUGGUUUGGUGAUAGAAUAAAUAAAAGAUUUUGCAAAUACCAAACCGUUAUUUAAGUUGCGUUGUAAUAAAAAAAAUUAUAUCUUCCAAUUAAUUUAAUAUUUAAAAUUAUUUAAAUAAUUAAAAUUUCUUAUAAGCCAUGUUCUCAGUAAUUUUAAGUUAUUUUGAUUAUUUGUCAUGUUUUGUUAGUUUUAGAAACUUAUUCGUCAUAUUCCAUGAUUUUAGGUUGUCAUUAAUUUUUAUAAAUAAAAUUUUGAAUUGUUAGUUUUUAUACAAUUUUAGUGAUUAUUUAAUAAAUAUUUUAAUUAUAUUCAGGAUAAUUAUUAUUAACGAGUAUUAUCAAAUUUGAGCAAUAAUUUUAUAGUUAUGUUUAUCUUAUGUUUACUUUAGUAAUAUUAAAUCUUUAAUGUUUUUAUUUAAUAUUUUGAAAAAGAAGCUUUUUGUUUUAUGUGAGUGAACCAUCUUGUCGUUGUAAAUUAAAAAAACAAAAUCCAGUUUUUAUAAGACAUAUAUAAUAUAUUACUUUUGGUUUAUAUUUUUUUAGUUAAAUAGAAAUAUGUUUUUAAUUAUUGUAUAUUUUGUUAAUAGGUAGUCACUAUGAACUUUGAUGAAGAGAAAACUCAUAUAAAAUGCAAUUAAACUAAUGUUUGUAGGAAUUACCAAAACAAGGAAAAUUGUUCAAUCAUCUAUACUAUUAUUUGUUGAAGAGAGGUUUGAUUUUACAUGCUUCACUGAUAAUUGGUAAUUGUGGUUUAAUUUGUAGAUUUAUCUUUUACGUUAUUUUAAAUUAUUAAUAAAACUUUAAUAGGUUAUUAUGAUGAUGAUACUCUUUACAUGUGUGGUUUGGUGAUAGAAUAAAUAAAAGAUUUUGCAAAUACCAAACCGUUAUUUAAGUUGCGUUGUAAUAAAAAAAAAAUAUUUUCCAAUUAAUUUAAUAUUUAAAAUUAUUUAAAUAAUUAAAAUUUCUUAUAAGCCAUGUUCUCAGUGAUUUUAAGUUAUUUUGAUUAUUUGUCAUGUUUUGUUAUUUUUAGAAACUUAUUCGUCAUAUUCCAUGAUUUCAGGUUGUCAUUAAUUUUUAUGAAUAAAAUUUUGAAUUGUUAGUUUUUAUACAAUUUUAGUGAUUAUUUAAUAAAUAUUUUAAUUAUAUUCAGGAUAAUUAUUAUUGACGAGUAUUAUCAAAUUUGAGCAAUAAUUUUAUAGUUAUGUUUAUCUUAUGUUUACUUUAGUAAUAUUAAAUCGUUUAAUGUUUUUAUUUAAUAUUUUGAAAGAGAAGCUUUUUUUUAUGUGAGUGAAUCAUCUUGUCGUUGUAAAUUAAAAAACAAAAUCCAGUUUUUAUAAGACAUAUAUAAUUUAUUACUUUUGGUUUAUAUUUUUUUAGUUAAAUAGAAAUAUGUUUUUAAUUAUUGUAUAUUUUGUUAAUAGGUAGUCACUAUGAACUUUGAUGAAGAGAAAACUCAUAUAAAAUGCAAUUAAACUAAUUUGAUGAAGAGAAGUUUGAUUUCAUAGGCUUCACUGAUAAUUGGUAAUUGUAGUUUAAUUUGUAGAUUUAUCUUUUAUGUUAUUUGAAAGUAUAAAUAAAACUUUAUUAGGUUAUUAUUAUGAUGAUACUUUUUACAUGUGUGGUUUGGUGAUAGAAUAAAUAAAAGAUUUUGCAACUACGAAACCAUUAUCUAAGUUGCGUUGUAAUAAGAAAAGGUAAAUUAUAUCUUCUGAUUAAUUUAAUAUUU